UGGGGAAUUUUGCACAAUGGGGGAAACCCUGAUGCAGCGACGCCGCGUGAUUUAGAAGGCCUUCGGGUUGUAAAAAUCUUUUCUAUGGGAAGAAAAUGACAGUACCAUAGGAAUAAGGACCGGCUAAUUACGUGCCAGCAGCCGCGGUAAUACGUAAGGUCCGAGCGUUUUCCGGAAUCAUUGGGCGUAAAGGGUACGUAGGCGGGUAAGCAAGUUAGAAGUGAAAUCCUAUAGCUCAACUAUAGUAAGCUUUUAAAACUGCUCAUCUUGAGGUAUGGAAGGGAAAGUGGAAUUCCUAGUGUAGCGGUGAAAUGCGCAGAUAUUAGGAGGAAUACCGGUGGCGAAGGCGACUUUCUGGCCAUAACCUGACGCUGAGGUACGAAAGCGUGGGUAGCAAACAGG
rnacentral:rRNA from 1 species